rnacentral:rRNA from 1 species
CCCUUAGAUGUUCUGGGCAGCACGCGCGCUACAAUGGUCUUCGCAAACGGAUGCAUUCUCGAAGGAGAAUGCCAAUCUUGGAAUCUAUGCCUUGGUCGGGACAGUUGCUUGCAAUUUUUCGACUCGAACCAGGAAUUCCUUGUAAUCGUGAUUCAUCACAUCACGAUGAAUACGUCCCUGCCCUUUGUACACACCGCCCGUCGCUCCUACCGAUUGAAUGUUCCGGUGAAUUCUUCGGAGUCUGCGGUAUCAAUGUUUCAUUAUACCAUAGGCGAAGUUGCGUAAACCUUAACAUUUAGAGGAAGGAGAAGUCGUAACA